CGCGCAGGCGGUUUUAUUAGUCAGAUGUGAAAGCCCACGGCUCAACCGUGGAAGUGCAUUUGAAACUGUAAGACUUGAGUAUCAGAGGGGAAAGUGGAAUUCCCGGUGUAGAGGUGAAAUUCGUAGAUAUCGGGAGGAAUACCGGUGGCGAAGGCGACUUUCUGGCUGAAUACUGACGCUGAGGCGCGAAAGCGUGGGGAGCAAACAGGAUUAGAUACCCUGGUAGUCC
rnacentral:rRNA from 1 species